UUUUUUUUAAAUCGCAAAUCAUGAAUACGGGGGGAUGCGCGAAUUUGGCCGUGUCCAGCCGUUCCACCGUGUCCAGCCGUGUCAGAACGGGGAUUCGGCGAUGCUGGCCGUGUCCGUGCUUUUUAGUUAAUAGGUUAACGAAUUAAGAAAAAAGCAGCAUGGUCGAACAUAUCAGGAUCUUUUUCCACAAAAGGGCCUCGGUCUACCAAGC
rnacentral:lncRNA from 1 species